UACGUAAGGGGCAAGCGUUAUCCGGAUUUACUGGGUGUAAAGGGAGCGUAGACGGCAGUGCAAGUCUGAUGUGAAAGCCCGGGGCUCAACCCCGGGACUGCAUUGGAAACUGUGCAGCUAGAGUGUCGGAGAGGUAAGUGGAAUUCCUAGUGUAGCGGUGAAAUGCGUAGAUAUUAGGAGGAACACCAGUGGCGAAGGCGGCUUACUGGACUGUAACUGACGUUGAGGCUCGAAAGCGUGGGGAGCAAACAGG
rnacentral:rRNA from 1 species